ACGCUCGUGACAACUCCACGUUCUUGAAUCAUGACCACAAAUCCGGACCAGGUUAUUCUGGUUUUAGUGGAAGAUAUACGUCUGGCCACUCGGUCGACGUCUACAUCGGCCCUACACCCGACGCGCGACGCGUCCUGUGAGACGAUACAGGCGAAGCACGUGGAUGCUGCUACCACGACAAAUGAGGGUGUCGCCAGAGACAGGAAGUAAAAAGCGUGGAUCUGGCUUUUGAUACUGCUUUUAAUCAGCGCAGGAGUAAUUUUCUUGAUCAUUGUUCGGGAUGAGCGUGCACCGAUCAACACCCCGGCAAGUACAGGAACGAGUACUACCACAGAAGACGACUACCUGACUAAGUCGCACGAGCUCAGCAGCGACGAAGGAACACCAACGACGACCUCAAGCAUGCAAACAACGACGAAAAGCACUCCAACAGCUACAACGCAGGCUGAACCCGACCUGAGUGAGACGUCACAGACAUCGAGCACGUCCAGCACGACGUCGACCAGCACGACGUCGACGUCGUCCAGCACGACAUCGGCGAAGCCGCCACCACCAACAA